rnacentral:rRNA from 1 species
AACGAACGCUGGCGGCAUGCCUAACACAUGCCAGUCGAACGAGGCCUUCGGGUCUAGUGGCGCACGGGUGCGUAACGCGUGGGAACCUGCCCUUAGGUUCGGAAUAACUCCCCGAAAGGGGUGCUAAUACCGGAUAAUGUCUUCGGACCAAAGAUUUAUCGCCUUUGGAUGGGCCCGCGUUGGAUUAGCUAGUUGGUAGGGUAAAAGCCUACCAAGGCGACGAUCCAUAGCUGGUCUGAGAGGAUGAUCAGCCACACUGGGACUGAGGCACGGCCCAGACUCCUACGGGAGGCAGCAGUGGGGAAUAUUGGACAAUGGGCGAAAGCCUGAUCCAGCAAUGCCGCGUGAGUGAUGAAGGCCUUAGGGUUGUAAAGCUCUUUUACCCGGGAUGAUAAUGACAGUACCGGGAGAAUAAGCGCCGGCUAACUCCGUG